rnacentral:lncRNA from 1 species
GUCAUUUCCUGCUGUGUCUGUGGCCGGCUGGUGGCUGUGCUGGCGGACGGGCGGACAGGGAGCGGAGAGAGGAGCUGGAGAUACACCGCGUUUAUCUCCUCAAUACCCGCCUGAUAAACCCAGAUUUACCGCGGGGUAGAUCCACAACCCGAGCAAACGGAUAAGACAGUAUCUAAUGGAAGCCAUCACCGCCGGGACACCAUGGCUCUUCUCGAUGUCACAGGACUGCUGUGGUCAGAGCUGAGUGCUGUGAUUGUGUGUUUGCGGACAUCACGUUAUCUGCCUCUUUGAAGUCGACCCAUUAUCGUCCAGCCUCCACACACACACACACACACACACAACCAGCAGAAGCAUGGCGCCUGUGCCUCCUGGUAUCCGCUUCCUGGCAUCCUUUAACCGGGAGCAGUGUCGCGGCUCUGCUGUUGGGCGGUGUAAAGCAGAGGUUGGCCAGCGUGGCGAGAGGAGAGGAGGUGGAGAGGUGAGAUGAAGUGUGCUGAGGUUAGGCCGCUCUGUUCUUGGGCAGGGGUGAGUCUUUAGCGAGUGCUGGUUUGUUUGCUGAACACACAGACGAGACUGCGCUCACGCCGCAUGGAGAGUGGGUGAGAGAGACGACUCGUGUUUGCGUGGCAAGUUAAAUACCACAGAUAUUCCUUAUGCUGUCGCUAAUGUCACUGCUGUAUGUUGCCAUUACAGCACAGACGCCAGGCCAGAGAUGCACAUCGCUAAGCAGAUGACUAAUCCUGAACCGUCUGUUCACUGCGGAUUUCCCUUUCAGCCGCUGAGGGCCGACAUGAAAACAUAGAUCACAGCAAUGCGAUUAUUGAUUUAGAGAACACAGAAUUUAAUACUCUGCUCUCCUGAAAAGCCUGAAAAUCUGCUUUUAUUUUAGCAUGUUAUUCUGUUUCCUUAUUCAGUUUAUUGAAAUACCAGUACCAAAAAGUCAAAAGUUUGGUCACACCUCUUCUCAUUUAAUGUGUUUUCUUUCUUUUUAUGAUUUUUGUUCAUUGUAAAUUCUAAAUUAUUCUGUAAGCUGUCAGGUUUA